ensembl:lncRNA
CUCCAAGGAGGAGUCAUUGCAGCCUCUCUGUGCAGCUUCUGCCAGUGCCCCGGUCCCUUGAUCAUCUUGGUGGCCUUCCAUUGGUCUCCCUCCAGUACCUUCCUGUCUCUCUUGUACUGGGAGCCCAGACCUACACACAGUACACCAUUUCUCUGCAAGGUUAUCUGUAUGGGAACCAUUGAAUCAUGGCCUGAACCUCUGAUUGAUCAGCCGAGGCAAGCACUGAGUCAGCUGUGGGAGCACAGGUGAAGGCAAUUCAGCUGUGUGACCAGAAGGGAUAUAGCAUGGUCGCACCUCUCCUGGACCCCACUUAAGGGCUCUCUGCCAUUGGGGAAGGAUCUCUUUCUGGAGAUCACUCCUCUUGGAGUUUUUUCUGUGAGCCUACAACACGGGCGCUUGACAGUCUUGUUAGUGGAUGCCAACGUCAAAUGUGUUUGGAUAUCCCUGAGUACUCUGCUUGUUGCUCUGGUCCGUGUGCCUUGACCUGUCAUUUCAAGACUGCCUCUCCUUUCAGAAAGAGAUUCCCAGGGAGACAAACCUCAGAUAAGUACUCUGUUGGACCACAGUCACUGCAAAGGGUCCUACUUUAAAAAAUUGUAUGUAAAAGAGUGAUUUUUAUUUAACUCUGGAGUUGAAGUCCCUUGCCAAUUUUUUGGUCAGAGUUAUCAAAAAGAUAAACACACAGUAAGUGCUGGAGUAUAGAAAGCAGACAAACUAUGGGAGCUGCAUGUGGGAAAAGCCGUAUCUCGUGGUGGGAAGCUCUGCCUUACUGCAGUGAGGGCAACAGGUGCUUAAUGGCUGCCCUCAAAAAACACAGCUUCUGCCAAAAAAUUACGUUACUUUCCUAGUAUAGGUCUGUAUAAAAGAAAUAGCACUAAAGCCGCCCUCAAAGGCCUGUCCUCAUUUGUUUGUUUAUUUUAGUGCAUUUUUAAAAUACUGCUUAUUACAUAUUUCCAUGAACGUUGCUGCACAAAUGUUACCACUGUGUAGGACAGCUGCCAGGUUACCACAUUUACGUUGUGGUAGUGGUUUGGCGAUGUAGAACCCCAUGUGCCGGUCACAUGGAAGGGUCUCUCCUUUAUUUUUCUGUGCUAAAAAGUGUCUUUUGGACAAUCUCUCUCCUCUGUGUUGCUUUCACCAGGUAUCUCCGGGCAUGUGAGUGCUGCUAGAAUUCUUCUGCAGGCCCAGAACUGCUUUCCACCUGCUAGGAAGGAGGACUUGGUCACAUGACCUGGAGGAAAAACAAAAAUUUGCUGGUAUUUCUUUGAUCAGUAGGAAAUGAAUAUUCUGUGUUCAGACAAGUAUGGAGGAUUGGUCACUGGCCAUAAAUCACACAUAACUAAAAAGAGUGGCGUGGAAUACCAUGAAGGCCUGCUGUACUUGAUGCUUUGUAUGCCUUCAGGCCACAGGCAGGGAUGCAAAUGUACUGACAUGGAUGGGACUGAGUUUGUCUGUAGCAGAAUCUGUAACGGAAACGCUGUGCUUCUGUUUCAGAAGACAAACAUUUCACCUUUGCUGACAUCAAAACUCUCCAUGAAAGAAGUGGCGCUGAAAAUCAGCCUUACUGGAGGUGACCUUACUGUGCUGGAUGCUCACGGCUGGUGGGGCAAUGGGAGAGCUCAGGUGCAUGCCCACAUUUCUUGCAGAGUGAUGCAAGGAUGAGCAGCUUGCCCUGGAGGCAGCAAGCAGACGUUUCCUAUUGCCCAGCAUCUGCUGUUUGAGACGUUUCCCAAAGAAGAGGCCAAGUAGGUCUCCUGAAGUUUAAUGCGCACAUCAUCAGAAGCUCGAGUGUGCCUCUGUUUGUCGUGCUGAGAAAUGCUGUGAGCGGUCAGAACCAAGAAAAAUUGGGCUUUGGGACCCUUAUUACAGGAUGGACUUGAUUCAAGCUUUCUGUCCAAAGAAACAACUUCAGGAUUCCUGCAUAAUGGCCUGCACUGGUCUUCUCAAACUGCUUCUAAAAAUGUCAUCACAUUCUGUGUAUGGUUAAGAUUUAAAAUAUCUCACUGGACUGUAAGCGAUCAGAGUAGGAAAAAUACUUCUGAUGAAUGCACCUAUCUCAGUUCCAUCAUUCUGGAAACAAGUUAGAGGAAAAUGCAUUUUUCUGCCUGUGCUCGCAUACCUCUGAGUGAAAUAACUGUAAGCACACUGAUGUUUCACUGCCAAUACAGAACUUGCCAUACAGAAGCGAGAGAGGGAACGGGCUGCAUUCAUUUCAAAACUCAUAGAAUCACAGAAUAUCUCAAGUUGGAAGGGACUCACAAGGAUCACCAAGUCUAACUCCCAGCUGCACACAGGACCCAAAAUUCUACAUCUGAGAGUGCUGUCCAAACGUUCCUUGAACUCCUUCAGGCCUGGGGCUGGGAUCUCUUCGCACAGCAGCAUGGAGAGCUGUGAGAAUGUAUCUCCCAUGGCCACUUCGUCCAAAAGGUACAAGGAAGCCAGAAGGUUUAAUGUGAGAUGAGAAGCAAGAAACAAGCCACAAAGAAACCUGUGCUGGGCUAGCAAACGGUACGUGUGCUGUGCUUCACUUCAGCCUGGGUUAAGCCUGUCUGCCCACUGAGUGAGGGCGCAGCAAACUGCUGACAAGUAACAAG